rnacentral:rRNA from 1 species
UACGGGAGGCAGCAGUGGGGAAUAUUGGACAAUGGGGGGAACCCUGAUCCAGCCAUGCCGCGUGUGUGAAGAAGGCCUUAUGGUUGUAAAGCACUUUAAGCGAGGAGGAGGCUACUAGUAUUAAUACUACUGGAUAGUGGACGUUACUCGCAGAAUAAGCACCGGCUAACUCUGUGCCAGCAGCCGCGGUAAUACAGAGGGUGCGAGCGUUAAUCGGAUUUACUGGGCGUAAAGUGUGCGUAGGCGGCCAUUUAAGUCAAAUGUGAAAUCCCCGAGCUUAACUUGGGAAUUGCAUUCGAUACUGGAUGGCUAGAGUAUGGGAGAGGAUGGUAGAAUUCCAGGUGUAGCGGUGAAAUGCGUAGAGAUCUGGAGGAAUACCGAUGGCGAAGGCAGCCAUCUGGCCUAAUACUGACGCUGAGGUACGAAAGCAUGGGGAGCAAACAGGAUUAGAUACCCUGGUAGUCCAUGCCGUAAACGAUGUCUACUAGCCGUUGGGGCCUUUGAGGCUUUAGUGGCGCAGCUAACGCGAUAAGUAGACCGCCUGGGGAGUACGGUCGCAAGACUAAAACUCAAAGGAAUUGACGG